rnacentral:lncRNA from 1 species
UAGGGCUCAUGUAGGGAAAAAUCACCAGCGACCACAGGGUGUUGGUCAUGGCGGCCAGGGGCACUGCGGCAGAUUUUUUUUUCCUUCGUUCUUUGCUGCAGUCUGGGUGCGGCUACAGCAAUUUGUCAUAGAAUCUGGGGGGCUCAUUUUUCCGGCCAAUCACUUUUAGAGAAAUGAGCGCAUUGCAGCAGAAUGCGCUGACGUCAAAGACCACCCCUUCUGCGCCUUUAUAUAAACCCCACCCAGCCAGCCCCUAGCACAGAAGAGGAAGAGCUGGAAUAGAGCUCGCCUCGGCUCUGCUGGCCUUGGCUGCAGCUCUUCCAGAAACCCGGGGCGCCCACAGAAGAAUCUCUUACCUGGCUCUCUCUUCAGGGAUGACAUCAUCGGCUCACACCAGUCUUCCAGGACCACCUUCUGGAUGCCAAGGCUGCUGCUCCUGUACCUGCUGUGCACCUCUACCUCCUGAGCCAAGGAGCAUGGAUUCCAGGAACCCACUACCAUACAGAGCAACUCCUUGUGGACCCCCCUGGGAUCAGGACAGCGAGGGACAAGCGACAAAGAGGAUCAUCAGUGGCCAGCUAGUCUCUCUGGGGUUCAAACCUUGAACCAGUGCCCUAAUUCCUGCAGCCCCUAUGCCCAGGGCUCUCCUUGCGCCAGAGGUAGGUGGGAAAGAGAACUGGGAGAGCCCGGACUCACUCAUGAGAUUGAACUUAAAUUCACACGGAGGACACUUGGACUCUUGCCACAUUGGCCCCGGCUUCUAGAGGCCUGUCUACACUCGCUGCUUUCCUUCCUCACCUCCAAUUUCCCCUCCAACCCACUGCUUCCUGACUCGCUCUUCUCCAUCGAACGGCUCUCGCUCAGCCUCCCUCUGUUUGUCUCCCUCCCUCUCCCAAUUGGAUCUGGCCCCUGUUGGGGUGCCCCUAGGCCACCCCUUCCUCUUCUGGGUGUCCCAGCACCAACCCGGUUUAAGGCUUGGCUUGCUGGCCCUGGAGAUCCCGUCGCCGUCUUCGUCGAACUCGAACUCCUAGCCAUCGUCCUUCCCUGGCCUGUCGCGUCUUCCUGUGCCAUUUGCUGUUGUGCUCAGGUUCCACGAGCUGCCCAUCUCCACAGAAGAGCAGCUGGCAUUGCCCACCGGCCAUGCCGGCUGAAGAAAAGAAGACUGAGGACCCCAGGACGCCCAGCACGAGGACCCCAGGAAGCUCAGCGCGAGGACUCCACCCAUGACGCCCAGCGCGAGGACUUCACGCACAACACGUUGCAACCCUCCUGGAUUAGGCCAAAGCCAUCAUCUGGAAUCCUGCGUGGGACCCUGGACACACGGACACAGACACCUGCCCCCAGGACCCUCCAACUGUAAAUU